CCCAGCAAUGGGGGAACCGGCGUAAGGGGCAGUAAUGCGUGGGUGACCUACCCGGGGGUCCGGGAUAGCCGUCCGAGAGGGCGGGUAAUCCCGGAUGACCUCGUAAGAGCAAAGCUCCGGCGCCCCCGGAGGGGCCCACGUGGUAUUAGGUAGUUGGCGGGGUAACGGCCCACCAAGCCUGGGAUGCCUAGCGGGUGUGAGAGCACGACCCGCGCCACUGGCACUGAGACACUGGUCAGACACCUACGGGUGGCUGCAGUCGAGGAUCUUCGGCAAUGGGCGCAAGCCUGACCGAGCGACGCCGCGUGCGCGAUGAAGGCCCUCGGGUUGUAAAGCGCUGUCGAGGGGGAGAAACGCCGCAAGGCUUGAUCUAUCCCUGGAGGAAGCACGGGCUAAGUUCGUGCCAGCAGCCGCGGUAAGACGAACCGUGCGAACGUU
rnacentral:rRNA from 1 species